AUACGGAGGGUGCAAGCGUUAAUCGGAAUUACUGGGCGUAAAGGGCGUGUAGGCGGUUCGAUCAGUCAGGCGUGAAAGCCCUGGGCUCAACCCAGGAACUGCGCUUGAUACUGUCGAACUUGAGUUCGGGAGAGGGUAGUGGAAUUCCCGGUGUAGAGGUGAAAUUCGUAGAUAUCGGGAGGAACACCAGUGGCGAAGGCGGCCACCUGGACGGUGACUGACGCUCAGGUGCGAAAGCGUGGGGAGCAAACAGGAUUAGAUACCCGGGUAGUCC
rnacentral:rRNA from 1 species